UCGUAAAAAUCCAUUGUUUUAUGAACCAAAUUAUCUUGACCCAAAUUAAAAUGUUAGGCAGAACUAAUCCCACAUUAAUCAGAAACCAUCCCGCAUAAAUCAAAUAUCAAAUACACUAUAAUUACUUAUAAUCAAUUAAAAACAGUCCCAAAAGAAUAAGAACAUGGCUAAAUUGAAAAACAUACAACAGAACAAUAACACACCAUACUAAUUACAAAAACAAAUGAGAAACAUCCUAUACCAAAAACGGAAAACACCAAGGAACCUCUGAUAGACAAUGGACGGUGAUCAGGAAACUAAUAAUGAAACCCCAAUGAUAGUGGAAUAUAGUAACGCAAGGAGCAAAACAUGCAUCUAAAAACAACCUUCCAAUUGGACAUUUCCUAACUUGAGAACAUAACCAUUAGUUGAUCACCGUAAACUGUAAAAACACAUCAUCAUCCAAUCAAAGCAAAAACGCGAAAAACAGAACACUAGAAACCCAAAAAACAGAACAGGAAUGUAAAAAAUGAGAAGACAUACCAAAGACCACUCUUUCCAUUCAAAUCGACAAACGAUCUCCUCCUUCUUCGUUCCUACGUCUUCG
rnacentral:lncRNA from 1 species